GCCUCAUCCCACCAGGGCAGCCAAUUAAAAAGGAGGACAGGAACAGGAUCUCUUGCCGUUGGGUUUGAUGUGACUCUGCCCUCAACAUGAACCUGGAGAUUCACAGCA
rnacentral:snoRNA from 1 species